rnacentral:rRNA from 1 species
ACGGGUGAGUAACACGUGGUAACCUGACCUAAGGUGGGGGAUAACAUUUGGAAACAGAUGCUAAUACCGCAUAAAACCUAACACCGCAUGGUGUAGGGUUGAAAGAUUGGUUUCGGCUAUCACUUUAGGAUGGACCCGCGGUGCAUUAGUUAGUUGGUGAGGUAAAGGCUCACCAAGACCGUGAUGCAUAGCCGACCUGAGAGGUAAUCGGCCACACUGGGACUGAGACACGGCCCAGACUCCUACGGGAGGCAGCAGUAGGGAAUCUUCCACAAUGGACGAAAGUCUGAUGGAGCAACGCCGCGUGAGUGAAGAAGGUUUUCGGAUCGUAAAACUCUGUUGUUGGAGAAGAAUGUAUCUGAUAGUAACUGAUCAGGUAGUGACGGUAUCCAACCAGAAAGCCACGGCUAACUACGUG